AUGGACCAGCUGUUUUCAACUCUGCUGCUGCUGACUUUCCCUGCCUGGGUCCUGUCCCAGGUCACACUGAAGGAGACUGGACCUGGGCUGGUCCCACCUUCCCAGACCCUCAAGCUGACCUGCUCCUUCUCUGGCUUCUCACUGUCCACUACUAACAUGGGUGUGGGCUGGAUUCAUCAGCCCCCAGGGAAGACUCUGGAUUGGCUAGCACACAUUUGGUGGAAUGAUGGUAAAUACUAUAACCCAGCACUUAAGAGCCGACUCACCAUCUCCAAGGACAGCUCCAAUAGCCAGGUGUUCCUCACAAUGACCAGCACAGAGCCUGCAGACACAGCCAUCUAUUUCUGUGCUCGAAACCACAGUGUCCACACCCAGGUCCUCCUGGAGCAGCCUGGGGCUGAGUUAAAGAAGCCAGGGGCCUCAGUGAACAUAUCCUGCAAGACUUCUGGGUUCACCUUUACCAACAGAUAUAUGCACUGGGUGAGGCAGAGGCCAAGCCAGGGGCUGAAAUGGACAGGCAGAAUUGACCCUGAGGAUGAUAGGACUAAAUAUGCACAGAACUUCAAGGGCUGGUUGACCCUGACAGUGGACAUAUCCUCCAGCACAUCCUUCAUGGAGCUGAGCAGGCUGACAGCUGAGGACCAAGCUGUGUAUUACUGUGCAAGAAACAAUGUGAAAACCACAUCCUGA